rnacentral:rRNA from 1 species
AGUGAACGCUGGCGGUAGGCCUAACACAUGCAAGUCGAACGGCAGCACAGUAAGAGCUUGCUCUUACGGGUGGCGAGUGGCGGACGGGUGAGGAAUACAUCGGAAUCUACUUUUUCGUGGGGGAUAACGUAGGGAAACUUACGCUAAUACCGCAUACGACCUACGGGUGAAAGCAGGGGAUCUUCGGACCUUGCGCGAUUGAAUGAGCCGAUGUCGGAUUAGCUAGUUGGCGGGGUAAAGGCCCACCAAGGCGACGAUCCGUAGCUGGUCUGAGAGGAUGAUCAGCCACACUGGAACUGGGACACGGUCCAGACUCCUACGGGAGGCAGCGGUGGGAAUAUUGGACAAUGGGCGCAAGCCUGAUCCAGCCAUACCGCGUGGGUGAAGAAGGCCUUCGGGUUGUAAAGCCCUUUUGUUGGGAAAGAAAAGCAGCAGGUUAAUACCCCGCUGUUCUGACGGUACCCAAGGAAUAAGCACCGGCUAACUUCGUG